CAAAAAAUAGUUUAAUUUAAAAUAAUAAUUUUGGGAAUUAUUGAUAUUUAAUUAUUUAAAUUUUUUUGA